CAAAACCUAGGGACUUUCAAACAUCAAAAUGUCACUUCUUAAAUGUAUUUGUGUCAAAAUGACAUAUAAACAUCUUUCCGUAUUCUGUGUUGCCUGGAAACGCUUCCAACACGCUUGCGUGCCGUGUGAAAAAUAGGUGUCGGUUCUCUUUCUCCC